AGCUCUAUUCCUAAGAGAACGGGCUGUACGUGAGAGAUGUCAGAAAGUUUGAAGUAAAAAAUAAGAAAGGGUUGUCUACUUUCCUUCUUUCGAAAUUACUUUUUUCAUUGGUUAGGUUUGUCUUUUAUUAAUAACUGAAGUAUGCCAAGGAUCGAUCAUACCUACUUUCGAAUUGUCAAACGGCAACAGAAUCCCAGCCAUCGGAUUAGGAACAUUUUUGGUAAAAAUGUGCAGUGAUAUUAAUUUUUAAUCGAGAAUCAAACUAAAUAUUCGUUUUGGCUGUCUGGCGAACAAGUGGAUCCUGCUAUUACGGCUGCUCUUGAGAAUGGCUACAGAUACAUCGAUGCAGCUUUUUACAAUAAUGAACCGGAAAUUGGGAAAGCUUUAAAAAAGUGGUUGGAUAACGGUGGUAAUCGCGAGGAUCUAUUUCUAUUGUUCAAGCUGCCAAUUUCAGCUAUGCGACCCUCAGAUGUAGCGGAAGCUUUGGAAUUAACUUUAAAAAUUUGGGUGUUGACUAUCUUGAUAUGUAUUUGAUUCAUGUACCUGCUGGGAUACACAGAACAGCUGAUUAUCAGAUGCUUGUUUAUGACAAUGGAACGUAUGCCAUAGACAAUUCCACGGAUCUUCUGGCAGUAUGGAAAGAAUUAGAAAAGCAAGUGAAGAGUGGAAAAGUGAAAUCCCUCGGAUUCAGCAACGUCAACAAAAAUCAAAUAUUAAGAAUAUGGGAAAAUUCGGAGAUCAAACCCUCUAACUUACAAAUCGAAAAAAAUCCCUACAUGCGACAAGAGGAGCUUAUCAAUUUGGGGCAUAAAUUGGGCAUGGUUGUGACGGCUGAAAGUCCUCUUGGUUCGCCAAGUUUUGAAUACAUGAGAAGAAAACGCGAUCUCGCAAACUUGCCACCAGUGAUUGGUCAUCCAAUUGUACAAUCUAUCGCCAAAAAGCAUAACAAGAUACCAGCCCAAAUUCUAUUACGCUAUAAUUUUCAAAGAAAUGUCGUAGUCAUUCCAAAGAAUUCUCAUCCGGAACAAAUAAAGGAAAAUUUGGACGUAUUCGACUUUAAGUUGACGAAAAUUGACAUGGCUCUACUGAAAACACUGGACAAGCGUGGCAGAUAUAGAAAAUAUAAUUUUCUGACUUUAAAAGGAUUCGAGCAUCAUCCGGAGUAUCCGUUUGCUGAUAGACUACCUGAUUUCUAUUGAUUACAGAAUGUAUUUUUAAAAUUUUAAAUAAAAGAAUCAGACGACUGAAUACACUACAC